rnacentral:rRNA from 1 species
GCGGUAAUUCCAGCUCCAAUAGCGUAUAUUAAAGUGGUUGCAGUUAAAAAGCUCGUAGUUGAACUUUGGGCCCGGUUGGCCGGUCCGAUUUUUUCGUGUACUGGAUUUCCAACGGGGCCUUUCCUUCUGGCUAACCUUGGGUCCUUGUGGCUCUUGGCGAACCAGGACUUUUACUUUGAAAAAAUUAGAGUGUUCAAAGCAGGCGUAUUGCUCGAAUAUAUUAGCAUGGAAUAAUAGAAUAGGACGUUUGGUUCUAUUUUGUUGGUUUCUAGGACCAUCGUAAUGAUUAAUAGGGACGGUCGGGGGCAUCAGUAUUCAAUUGUCAGAGGUGAAAUUCUUGGAUUUAUUGAAGACUAACUACGU